rnacentral:rRNA from 1 species
AUUGAACGCUGGCGGCAUGCUUUACACAUGCAAGUCGAACGGCAGCACGGGGGCAACCCUGGUGGCGAGUGGCGAACGGGUGAGUAACACAUCGGAACGUGCCCAGUUGUGGGGGAUAACCUAUCGAAGGUAGGCUAAUACCGCAUGAGCUCGGCAAGAGGAAAGCGGGGGACUCAGCGAUGGGCCUCGCGCGACUGGAGCGGCCGAUGUCCGAUUAGCUAGUUGGUGGGGUAAAGGCUUACCAAGGCGACGAUCGGUAGCUGGUCUGAGAGGAUGAUCAGCCACGCUGGGACUGAGACACGGCCCAGACUCCUACGGGAGCAGCAGUGGGGAAUUUUGGACAAUGGGGGCGACCCUGAUCCAGCCAUGCCGCGUGAGUGAAGAACGGCU